rnacentral:rRNA from 1 species
GACGAACGCUGGCGGCGUGCUUAACACAUGCAAGUCGAACGGAAACGCCCUGCUUAUUUGCGGUGCUCUAGUUGCGAACUGGUGAGUAACACGUGAGUACCCUGCCCUUGCCUUUGGGAUAACUUCAGGCAACUUGGUCUAAUACCGGAUAGGAGCUCCCGCUUCAUGGUGGGGGUUGGAAGGUUUCGGUGGUUGGGGAUGGACUCGCGUCGUAUCGGCUUGGUGGGUGGGUAGUGGAUUAGCAAGGCUUUGAACGGUAGCCGGCCUGAGAGGGUGACCUGCCACAUUGGGAUGGGAAUACGACACGGACUACUACGGGAGGGAACAGAGGGGAAUAGUGCACAAUGCGCUGAGGGCUGAUGCAACAACGCCGCGUGCGGGGAGACAGCAUGCGGGUAGUAUACCGCUUUCGCCUGAGACGAAGCGUGAAUGACAGUAACGGGUAAAGAAGCACCGGCUAACUACGUG